UACAGAGGUCUCAAGCGUUGUUCGGAUUCAUUGGGCGUAAAGGGCGCGUAGGCUGCGGGGCAAGUCGGGUGUGAAAUCUCAGAGCUCAACUCUGAAACUGCACUUGAUACUGCCUUGCUCGAGUACUGGAGAGGAGAUUGGAAUUUACGGUGUAGCAGUGAAAUGCGUAGAUAUCGUAAGGAAGACCAGUGGCGAAGGCGAAUCUCUGGACAGUUACUGACACUGAGGAGCGAAAGCGUGGGGAGCAAACAGG
rnacentral:rRNA from 1 species